rnacentral:rRNA from 1 species
AGGUAAGCUACUAAGAGCGAAUGGUGGAUGCCUUGACUGGUAAAGGCGAUGAAGGACGUACUAGACUGCGAUAAGCUACGGGGAGCUGUCAAGAAGCUUUGAUCCGUAGAUUUCCGAAUGGGGCAACCCAAUGUAUAGAGAUAUACAUUACCUAUAUAGGAGCGAACGAGGGGAAUUGAAACAUCUUAGUACCCUCAGGAAAAGAAAUCAAUAGAGAUUGCGUCAGUAGCGGCGAGCGAAAGCGCAAGAGGGCAAACCCAGUGCUUGCACUGGGGGUUGUAGGACUGCAAUGUGCAAGAGGUAAGUUUAGCAGAACAUUCUGGAAAGUAUAGCCAUAGAGGGUGAUAGUCCCGUAUGCGAAAAACAAACCUUAGCUAGCAGUAUCCUGAGUAGGGCGGGACACGAGGAAUCCUGUCUGAAUCCGGGUCGACCACGAUCCAACCCUAAAUACUAAUACCAGAUCGAUAGUGCACAAGUACCGUGAGGGAAAGGUGAAAAGAACUGAGGUGAUCAGAGUGAAAUAGAACCUGAAACCAUUUGCUUACAAUCAUUCAGAGCCCUAUGUAGCAAUACAGGGUGAUGGACUGCCUUUUGCAUAAUGAGCCUGCGAGUUGUGGUGUCUGGCAAGGUUAAGCAAACGCGAAGCCGUAGCGAAAGCGAGUCUGAAUAGGGCGCUUAGUCAGAUGCUGCAGACCCGAAACGAAGUGAUCUAUCCAUGAGCAAGUUGAAGCUAGUGUAAGAACUAGUGGAGGACUGAACCCAUAGGCGUUGAAAAGCCCCGGGAUGACUUGUGGAUAGGGGUGAAAGGCCAAUCAAACUUCGUGAUAGCUGGUUCUCUCCGAAAUAUAUUUAGGUAUAGCGUUGUGUCGUAAUAUAAGGGGGUAGAGCACUGAAUGGGCUAGGGCAUACACCAAUGUACCAAACCCUAUCAAACUCCGAAUACCUUAUAUGUAAUCACAGCAGUCAGGCGGCGAGUGAUAAAAUCCGUCGUCAAGAGGGAAACAACCCAGACUACCAGCUAAGGUCCCUAAGUCUUACUUAAGUGGAAAACGAUGUGAAGUUACUUAAACAACCAGGAGGUUGGCUUAGAAGCAGCCAUCCUUUAAAGAAAGCGUAAUAGCUCACUGGUCUAGUGAUUUUGCGCGGAAAAUAUAACGGGGCUAAAGUAAGUACCGAAGCUGUAGACUUAGUUUACUAAGUGGUAGGAGAGCGUUCUAUUUGCGUCGAAGGUAUACCGGUAAGGAGUGCUGGAGCGAAUAGAAGUGAGCAUGCAGGCAUGAGUAGCGAUAAUUAAUGUGAGAAUCAUUAACGCCGUAAACCCAAGGUUUCCUACGCGAUGCUCGUCAUCGUAGGGUUAGUCGGGUCCUAAGUCGAGUCCGAAAGGGGUAGACGAUGGCAAAUUGGUUAAUAUUCCAAUACCAACAUUAGUGUGCGAUGGAAGGACGCUUAGGGCUAAGGGGGCUAGCGGAUGGAAGUGCUAGUCUAAGGUCGUAGGAGGUUAUACAGGCAAAUCCGUAUAACAAUACUCCGAGAACUGAAAGGCUUUUUGAAGUCUUCGGAUGGAUAGAAGAACCCCUGAUGCCGUCGAGCCAAGAAAAGUUUCUAAGUUUAGCUAAUGUUGCCCGUACCGUAAACCGACACAGGUGGGUGGGAUGAGUAUUCUAAGGCGCGUGGAAGAACUCUCUUUAAGGAACUCUGCAAAAUAGCACCGUAUCUUCGGUAUAAGGUGUGGUUAGCUUCGUACUAGGAUUUACUCCGAAAGCGAAGAAACUUACAACAAAGAGUCCCUCCCGACUGUUUACCAAAAACACAGCACUCUGCUAACUCGUAAGAGGAUGUAUAGGGUGUGACGCCUGCCCGGUGCUCGAAGGUUAAUUGAUGGGGUUAGCAUUAGCGAAGCUCUUGAUCGAAGCCCGAGUAAACGGCGGCCGUAACUAUAACGGUCCUAAGGUAGCGAAAUUCCUUGUCGGUUAAAUACCGACCUGCAUGAAUGGCGUAACGAGAUGGGAGCUGUCUCAAAGAGGGAUCCAGUGAAAUUGUAGUGGAGGUGAAAAUUCCUCCUACCCGCGGCAAGACGGAAAGACCCCGUGGACCUUUACUACAGCUUGACACUGCUACUUGGAUAAGAAUGUGCAGGAUAGGUGGGAGGCUUUGAGUAUAUGACGCCAGUUGUAUAUGAGCCAUUGUUGAGAUACCACUCUUUCUUAUUUGGGUAGCUAACCAGCUUGA